rnacentral:rRNA from 1 species
UACGUAGGUGGCGAGCGUUGUCCGGAAUUACUGGGUGUAAAGGGCGUGUAGGCGGGAAAUUAAGUCAGAUGUGAAAUUCCCAGGCUCAACUUGGGCGCUGCAUCUGAAACUAAUUUUCUUGAGUGCUGGAGAGGAAAGCGGAAUUCCUAGUGUAGCGGUGAAAUGCGUAGAUAUUAGGAGGAACACCAGUGGCGAAGGCGGCUUUCUGGACAGUAACUGACGCUGAGGCGCGAAAGCGUGGGGAG